rnacentral:rRNA from 1 species
AUUGAACGCUGGCGGCAGGCCUAACACAUGCAAGUCGGGCGAGUGGCGGACGGGUGAGUAAUGUCUGGGAAUCUGCCUGAUGGCGGGGGAUAACUACUGGAAACGGUAGCUAAUACCGCAUACCAUCAGAUGAACCCAUAUGGGAUUAGCUUGUAGGUGGGGUAACGGCUCACCUAGGCGACGAUCCCUAGCUGGUCUGAGAGGAUGACCAGCCACACUGGAACUGAGACACGGCCCAGACUCCUACGGGAGGCAGCAGUGGGGAAUAUUGCACAAUGGGCGCAAGCCUGAUGCAGCCAUGCCGCGUGUAUGAAGAAGGCCUUCGGGUUGUAAAGUACUUUCAGUGGGGAGGCGUUACCGGCAGAAGAAGCACCGGCUAACUCCGUGCCAGCAGCCGCGGUAAUUC